CCAGGUGAUAUCAAAUUUAACGGGGCGGUAUUUACACCAACUAUACAGAGUCCACUGAAUUCAUCUCUUGAAAUCUCCUCAGAGAAUAGUAAAAUACACAUCACUGCUAUUGGCGGUGUGUCGCUGAGUUCAACCUUGGCGAACGUCACCUUGCAAACUGACGAUAACAUGUACAUCCAGUCAGGGGCGCUUCACCUCAUUGGGAACGAGCUUUAUCUCUUGGGAAUUCCCACAGUGGUUGCCACGACGUCUCUUCCCGUGAAACCCACUACAGCGCCGCCUACUGUCUAUCAACUCUGUGUUUGCGAAAACGGGAAAGCUUUUCUGGGAAAUGCAAGCGGCAAUUGUCGAGCGUCUUCGGAGAUUUGUUCAGACAGUACUAAGCCUUAAUUUUUUUUUGGGACACAAUUUUAAUAUAGAUAUCGCGCCAACAAGCGAAUCUACAUUUACUACAAAACUGGUAGCAUUAAUGGACUCGACUAACGCAAGUCUGAUUUUAAUAAUAUCCAGUAAACGGCCAGGACGUGUAUGAAUUUGUAGCCAGAAACAUUAUUCAGUAAUGCUGGUGCCGAGAGCUAAAAUUCUUUGAUCGUUGCGGUGUUGUUGUUUUUUUAAUGAACUGCCAAUGGUGUGCAUUAGUUUGCUGUGCAGUAUUUCACGUUGCUGCGCAGUCGUAGCUGUCAUCUACAUAUUCUGCCACAUCGAGAGCAGACAUAAUUGUUGUCUGCCAGUGGUCGGUUUAGUAUUUUUCCGACCCCGUCGACGGAUUUCCUCGGCUGUAGAUUUCAUAAUUGUAGGCCUAUCAAGUGUGUAUCCUGUGGCCUUAAUAAAUCUCCAGCUGUAUCAUUCUGGCGCUGCCUUCUGCCAGAUGAUCUCUUUUAUGCCGGUUAAAGCAAGCUGAUGCCUAAGCUGAUCUUUAAAUCUUUUUUACACCGACCACAUUUCAGCUCACCAAAAAGGAUUGUUAUAAUGUCACACAUGUAUAGCUACGUUUCUGUAAAUAAAAUGUUUAUGUAUUUAUUAUGGACGAAUCAAACGUAAGGUGUAUAGCACGAGAGGCUACAAAAGAUCUGUAACACCAUGUCAUCAAGAACAUUUCCCAACAGUGCCGGAUAUAACUAGGUGAAUAUCCCUAACCUCUUUUCAAGACUGAUGAUAAAAUUAAUGAUAUAGUAAUUACACAUUAAAUGGCUUGUACAUUCAAUAUCAUUUUCCUUGUUUUCUUUAUAUUUAGUAUGCAUAUUUUUUAAAUUUUUACAUUUGUAAGCUGUGGAGUUCCCUAUAGUCGGAGGUCUUGGAGGUCUUGGGUCACUGCGCUGUCUUGCUUUGUCCUGCUGUUUUACACAUUAGGGGAAAUAGCCACUAUUAGGCUUAUGUAAAAUGUCCGUCUGUCACACUCAGAUCUCAAAAACUAUAAGAGAAAUGAAAAACCUUAUUUCAACAUACGUUGUAGCUUGUAAAGCUUAGGUGCAACGGCUACUUUUUGUUUUAUAAAAGCAAACCGUUAUGUUUUUAAAAUUAAUUAUGCAAGCGAUUUUUUCAUAAAAAUACACCACUUCUAAAACAUUACAUAAAUGAAAGGGAGAUUGUAUAACAAUAUGUUAACGUGAGUCCACCCAGCUCAAAUUGGUACCUGGCAUUACUUGGGGAAAAGUAAAAG
rnacentral:sRNA from 1 species